UAGGGAAAUCUUCGGCAAUGGACGGAAGUCUGACCGAGCAACGCCGCGUGAGUGAAGAAGGUUUUCGGAUCGUAAAGCUCUGUUGUAAGAGAAGAACGAGUGUGAGAGUGGAAAGUUCACACUGUGACGGUAUCUUACCAGAAAGGGACGGCUAACUACGUGCCAGCAGCCGCGGUAAUACGUAGGUCCCGAGCGUUGUCCGGAUUUAUUGGGCGUAAAGCGAGCGCAGGCGGUUAGAUAAGUCUGAAGUUAAAGGCUGUGGCUUAACCAUAGUACGCUUUGGAAACUGUUUAACUUGAGUGCAAGAGGGGAGAGUGGAAUUCCAUGUGUAGCGGUGAAAUGCGUAGAUAUAUGGAGGAACACCGGUGGCGAAAGCGGCUCUCUGGCUUGUAACUGACGCUGAGGCUCGAAAGCGUGGGGAGCAAACAGGAUUAGAUACCCUGGUAGUCCACGCCGUAAACGAUGAGUGCUAGGUGUUAGACCCUUUCCGGGGUUUAGUGCCGCAGCUAACGCAUUAAGCACUCCGCCUGGGGAGUACGACCGCAAGGUUGA
rnacentral:rRNA from 1 species